GUCCAGGGAUGGGAAACGAACCCACAGUGUUCCGCUUACCGGACAGAUGCCAUGUCCACUAGGCUACCCUGGA